GCCAGUGUGGCGUAGUGGUUUGUGUGUUGGACUAUGACUCCGGAGAUCAGGGUUCGAGUCCAGCGCAGCCG